rnacentral:lncRNA from 1 species
AAGGAAAAGGAAGGAUGGUGUGGAGUGUGUUGCUGCAGGGAAGGCUUCCCAGUGGAGGUGGCUCCUGAGCUCUAGGAAAAGGGAAGUGAGUGUCCUUCCAGGCAGAGGGAACAGCAGGUGCAAAGGCCUGGGGGCUCGUCUAUAAGCACCCCCACGGCCGCGGCCCAGAUCCUCCCCGCUUUGCCCACCGGCCUCCAUCUCUGUCCUCAGGCCCGCUGGAGUCACAAGCCCCAUCCCAGACUCUCCAACGCUGGACCUGCAGCGCCCAGCCCUGCCCUGGUGCUACCACCUGCCAGCUCUGUGCCUGCCCCUCCACUAGAUCAUGACUUCGGCUCCAGCUCCCUCACUCUCCAUGCCUCUCACUUGCGGGUUGUGCCCUGCUCAGCUGGCCAGACUUUGGCCCCCUCCCUACCUGGAUUUGUGAAGCCCCAAAUUUCAUCUCCCCCACCACACUUAUUCACAGCCUCCGCCUGCUGACAUACCCAGGCAAGACUCCCUUCCCCUCCAGGCAGCCAAACUUCAGUUCGAAUCUUCUGGCUCUUACCAGACCCCUGAUGAAUCCCAGGAUCUUCGCAGGUGGUCCCAGGGCCUCUUUGAACCACAGUUUUACUUAUCUGAAAAAUAAAAAGGCAUGAUUUAGAU